UCAGACUUGUAGUUCCAAAAUGUCGCAUCAAGACCAAGAAUAUUAUUUGAACCAUGAAGUGUGCCAUAAAAAUCUUGAAAUUUCUUAAAAUAGCUUUAAAAGUUUCAUUUUACGAGAGGUUUUUAACCACAAGGCACACGAGUGCAGUUUUUGCUAUUACGAGGAAUGCGUGUUAGACGUUUCGAAAUUACAUGGAUCCUUGCGGCGGAAAUCUAACGGUCCAUUACACUGCUCUGCUACUUAUCUCUACGACACUUAAAGUUCCUUCAUUUCUUUGGAUAUGCAAUUUGACCACCGGAGCGUUAAAAUAGUUGCUCGAAUUCAAUUCACCCACGUGCCCCAAACGAGGUUUUUGAGGAGGUAAAAAAAUCCAAAGAUCCAUCAUGCGAGGUAAAUGUGCAAUCCAGUCAAUUUCUCAUCAAGUCUGUGAAAAAACCUAUAAAUUAUUAAUUAGUGUUUGAAAGUUGGAAUUAUCCGUUGUGUAAAGUUGCAGGAGACCUUAUUGAAGGAUGGUUGUAAAAGUAAAAAAUAAUUAUGCUUUCCCUCC